rnacentral:rRNA from 1 species
CGCCUGUUUAUCAAAAACAUCUCUUCUCGUUAGUUUUUGAAGUAUGGCCUGCCCACUGACCUUGAAUGUUGAAGGGCCGCGGUAUUUUGACCGUGCAAAGGUAGCAUAGUCAUUAGUUCUUUAAUUGUGAUCUGGUAUGAAUGGCUUGACGAGGCAUAAGCUGUCUUAAUUUUGAAUUGUUUAUUGAAUUUGUUCUUUGAGUUAAAAUUCUUAGAUGUUUUUAUGGGACGAGAAGACCCUAUAGAGUUUGACAUUUAUUAUGGUCUCUUUCUGUUUGUGAGGGUUCACUAGGGCUGUUUAAUAUGUUUUGUUGGGGUGAUGGGAGGGAUAUUAUUUAACCCCUCCUUUGUGUUGUUAUAUUUNUUUAUAUUUGCUUGAUCCAUUUAUUUUGAUUGUAAGAUUAAAUUACCUUAGGGAUAACAGCGUAA